rnacentral:rRNA from 1 species
CACACUAUCAUUAACUGAAUCCAUAGGUUAAUGAGGCGAACCGGGGGAACUGAAACAUCUAAGUACCCCGAGGAAAAGAAAUCAACCGAGAUUCCCCCAGUAGCGGCGAGCGAACGGGGAGCAGCCCAGAGCCUGAAUCAGUGUGUGUGUUAGUGGAAGCGUCUGGAAAGGCGCGCGAUACAGGGUGACAGCCCCGUACACAAAAAUGCACAUGCUGUGAGCUCGAUGAGUAGGGCGGGACACGUGGUAUCCUGUCUGAAUAUGGGGGGACCAUCCUCCAAGGCUAAAUACUCCUGACUGACCGAUAGUGAACCAGUACCGUGAGGGAAAGGCGAAAAGAACCCCGGCGAGGGGAGUGAAAAAGAACCUGAAACCGUGUACGUACAAGCAGUGGGAGCACAGAGCAAUCUGUGUGACUGCGUACCUUUUGUAUAAUGGGUCAGCGACUUAUAUUCUGUAGCAAGGUUAACCGAAUAGGGGAGCCGAAGGGAAACCGAGUCUUAACUGGGCGUUAAGUUGCAGGGUAUAGACCCGAAACCCGGUGAUCUAGCCAUGGGCAGGUUGAAGGUUGGGUAACACUAACUGGAGGACCGAACCGACUAAUGUUGAAAAAUUAGCGGAUGACUUGUGGCUGGGGGUGAAAGGCCAAUCAAACCGGGAGAUAGCUGGUUCUCCCCGAAAGCUAUUUAGGUAGCGCCUCGUGAAUUCAUCUCCGGGGGUAGAGCACUGUUUCGGCAAGGGGGUCAUCCCGACUUACCAACCCGAUGCAAACUGCGAAUACCGGAGAAUGUUAUCACGGGAGACACACGGCGGGUGCUAACGUCCGUCGUGAAGAGGGAAACAACCCAGACCGCCAGCUAAGGUCCCAAAGUCAUGGUUAAGUGGGAAACGAUGUGGGAAGGCCCAGACAGCCAGGAUGUUGGCUUAGAAGCAGCCAUCAUUUAAAGAAAGCGUAAUAGCUCACUGGUCGAGUCGGCCUGCGCGGAAGAUGUAACGGGGCUAAACCAUGCACCGAAGCUGCGGCAGCGACGCUUAUGCGUUGUUGGGUAGGGGAGCGUUCUGUAAGCCUGCGAAGGUGUGCUGUGAGGCAUGCUGGAGGUAUCAGAAGUGCGAAUGCUGACAUAAGUAACGAUAAAGCGGGUGAAAAGCCCGCUCGCCGGAAGACCAAGGGUUCCUGUCCAACGUUAAUCGGGGCAGGGUGAGUCGACCCCUAAGGCGAGGCCGAAAGGCGUAGUCGAUGGGAAACAGGUUAAUAUUCCUGUACUUGGUGUUACUGCGAAGGGGGGACGGAGAAGGCUAUGUUGGCCGGGCGACGGUUGUCCCGGUUUAAGCGUGUAGGCUGGUUUUCCAG